CAAUUUAAAGCUAAAAUAUAAAGCAUUUCAUUUACAUUGAAAAGAAUUUUGUGUAAUUCAAUAUAAAUUGA
rnacentral:tRNA from 1 species